AACCGGAGCCGCAGCGAAAGCGAGUCUGAAAUGGGCGUAUGAAGUACGUAGUUAUGUACCCGAAACCAGGUGACCUACCCAUGUCCAGGGUGAAGGUGCGGUAAAACGCACUGGAGGCCCGAACCCGUGUCUGUUGAAAAAGGCUGGGAUGAGGUGUGGGUAGCGGUGAAAUUCCAAACGAACUUGGAGAUAGCUGGUUCUCUCCGAAAUCUCUUUAGGGGGAGCCUCGGAAUCGAGAAUCUUGGAGGUAGAGCACUGUUUGGACGAGGGGCCCGUCAUGGGUUACCGACUUCAGAUAAACUCCGAAUGCCAAUGAUUUAUGUCCGGGAGUCAGACGAUGAGUGAUAAGAUCCACCGUCGAAAGGGGAACAGCCCAGAUCACCAGUUAAGGUCCCUAAAUAUAUGCUAAGUGGAAAAGGAUGUGGAGUUGCAUAGACAACUAGGAUGUUGGCUCAGAAGCAGCCAUCAUUUAAAGAGUGCGUAAUAGCUCACUAGUCGAGUGAUUCUGCGCCGAAAAUGUACCGGGGCUAAGCAUAUUACCGAAACUGUGGAUGUGUCCUUUUGGACACGUGAUAGGAGAGCGUUCUAAGGGCGACGAAGUUAGACCGUGAGGACUAGUGGAGCGCUUAGAAGUGAGAAUGCCGGUAUGAGUAGCGAAAGACAGGUGAGAAUCCUGUCCACCGAAUGACUAAGGUUUCCUGGGGAAGGCUCGUCCUCCCAGGGUAAGUCGGGACCUAAGGCGAGGCCGAGAGGCGUAGUCGAUGGAUAACAGGUUGAGAUUCCUGUACCAGUUAAAUGCGUUUGAAUGAUGGAGGGACGCAGGAGGCUAAGCAAACCAGACGAUUGGAAGUGUCUGGCCAAGCAGUAAGUCAGGUUUAGAGUCAAAUGCUUUAAGCCGGGUUGACAAGCUGUGAUGGGGAGCGAAAUUAAAGUAGCGAAGUUGCCGAUGUCACACUGCCGAGAAAAGCUUCUAGUGAGUAUUUAACUGCCCGUACCGCAAACCGACACAGGUAGUCGAGGAGAGAAUCCUAAGGUGAGCGAGUGAACUCUCGUUAAGGAACUCGGCAAAAUGACCCCGUAACUUCGGGAGAAGGGGUGCUGGUCGCAAGACCAGCCGCAGUGAAAAGGCCCAGGCGACUGUUUAUCAAAAACACAGGUUUCUGCAAAAUCGUAAGAUGAAGUAUAGGGGCUGACGCCUGCCCGGUGCUGGAAGGUUAAAAGGAAGAGUUAGCUUCGGCGAAGCCCUGAAUUGAAGCCCCAGUAAACGGCGGCCGUAACUAUAACGGUCCUAAGGUAGCGAAAUUCCUUGUCGGGUAAGUUCCGACCCGCACGAAAGGCGUAACGAUCUGGGCACUGUCUCAACGAGAGACUCGGUGAAAUUGAAUUGCCUGUGAAGAUGCAGGCUACCCGCGACAGGACGGAAAGACCCCAUGGAGCUUUACUGUAGCUUGAUAUUGAGUGUUUGUACUACUUGUACAGGAUAGGUAGGAGCCGUAGAAACCGGGACGCUAGUUUCGGUGGAGGCAUUGGUGGGAUACUACCCUUGUAUUAUGACCACUCUAACCCGCACCACUGAUCGUGGUGGGAGACAGUGUCAGGUGGGCAGUUUGACUGGGGCGGUCGCCUCCCAAAAGGUAACGGAGGCGCCCAAAGGUUCGCUCAGAAUGGUUGGAAAUCAUUCGCAGAGUGUAAAGGCACAAGCGAGCUUGACUGCGAGACAGACAGGUCGAGCAGGGACGAAAGUCGGGCUUAGUGAUCCGGUGGUUCCGCAUGGAAGGGCCAUCGCUCAACGGAUAAAAGCUACCCUGGGGAUAACAGGCUUAUCUCCCCCAAGAGUCCACAUCGACGGGGAGGUUUGGCACCUCGAUGUCGGCUCAUCGCAUCCUGGGGCUGUAGUCGGUCCCAAGGGUUGGGCUGUUCGCCCAUUAAAGCGGUACGCGAGCUGGGUUCAGAACGUCGUGAGACAGUUCGGUCCCUAUCCGUCGCGGGCGUAGGAAAUUUGAGAGGACCUGUCCUUAGUACGAGAGGACCGGGAUGGACAUACCGCUGGUGUACCAGUUGUUCCGCCAGGAGCAUCGCUGGGUAGCUAUGUAUGGAUGAGAUAAACGCUGAAAGCAUCUAAGUGUGAAACUCGCCUCAAGAUGAGAUUUCCCAUUCCUUUGGAAGUAAGACCCCACAGAGAUGAUGUGGUAGAUAGGAUGGAAGUGGAAGUGCGGUGACGCAUGGAGCGGACCAUUACUAAUCGGUCGAGGACUUAACCAAG
rnacentral:rRNA from 2 species